rnacentral:lncRNA from 1 species
AUACUCAGUUGAUUUUUCAGGGAUUGGAGAUUGAUCUUAUUUGUUUGGUUGUCCGUGGAUUCAAAGAUGAAGUAGAUAGUAAAGGCCAAGGCAACGGGCAUCAGACAUGUUAAUUUUUCUGAACUCUACUAUGGAACAUGUGUUUCUGAAUUUCUGCCAAAGUGUCAACUGUGGAUCGUACAUAGUAGUGCUCUUUUGAUAGUAGGUGGUCUGAAUUUCUGUCAAAGUGAUAAUGUGGAUCGUACAUAGUAGUGCUCUUUUGAUAGUAGGUGGUCGAAGUGUCGAAACACUCGAACAAGCACAAACUGAUCCUAGCAUCGAAGUGCUUUGUUUUUCCUUUGCAUCAAACUAUUUUUGUGUGCUCCAGAGUUCAGUGGGACAUAUGAUUGUCGUGCUCCAGCCCGUUUAAUCUCAGGUUUGAUCUUUUUUCAGCUCUUAUAUGUAUAGUACUUGGUUAUACAAACAUGGAACUGAUGGAUAUGUUGGAUUAAUGGAUGCAUAAUUACACACCUGAUGAUGAAUAGAUGGAAUUAAUGGAUGCAUACAUAUAUGAUUAGACCCUUAAUAAGCUUAGAUGUACUAUGGUUUAUUGCAUUCUCAGUAGGUUGAUAAUUACUGUAUAUGAAAACAAAAUUGCGCGUUCUUAUUUUGUUGGAAUAUUCCCACAAGGCCACACCGGCAAGAUAAUUAGUUUCUUUUUUAUGAAACCAAUAGCUAAUCUAUAUAUUUGCAGGUGAUUCAGAUGAGCAUCUCCCGACUUUAUGCAACAAUCAAAUUUAUUUGAAGUACCAAUAUUUGCAAUAAACAUUCUUAAUCCAUAUAAGUUACGGGAUUUAUAAAUCUUUUCACCACUUCAUAUGUUUGGAGGGGAACAUCUAAGAAACCGAUGGAUCACGUAUAUGUUUUAUGGCAUAAAUACAAUAUAAUUAAUGUGAAAACCACUGAUGUGUCUUAGGAUCACAUGAUCUGUUUAAAAUAAUAUAUAAUUUGCACUCAGCGGAAAAAACUCCCAAAAAAGUUCGCAUGUAAAUGACUGAAUAUUAUAUCCAUAUUUCAGUUUUGUCUCAUUGACAAAAGUAAUCAUUGCGAUGCACCUGAAGAUAUAUACGAUUAUCAUGGUAAGUAUUUCCGUUCCGUGCAGGGUCUUGCGAGCGGGGAAGGAGAGCACCUGUGAGGUAAGAAGGCACCAAUGCAACACGCUGUGAAACCUCGGCAUCACAGACGGGAUUCUGUCCAAGGAUGCAGAUUUUGAAGUGUCAAGUAUGAUGAUUUGGUUGGAUGCCUUCUGCCUCUGAGCUUCACUGAACACUUGCGUCCACCACCAACCUGCACAUCCGGAAGAAGAGAAGCAAGCUUUCUCCCUCAACCACAACCCGCAUCCAUGAUCCCAGUGCAAAGCUCCUGGUCAACAAUGCCUCACAUGAUGUGUCAUGGAGCCGCCACCCACUGAUGCCUACCACCUCGAUCCACUCAGUUAUGCCCCUCAAUGGAUCUGGGGAGAGAACCCAUGACUAUGAGCAUUGAGAAGAUUAGGUGCGGCAAUUAGGUGUGUGGUCACAAAAAUGAUUGUUUCAUGCUUCUCUUCGCCCAUCUGUAAUGUGUACUCAUCCAGAGCAAUCUAUAAUUUUUUUGGCAUAGUCUGUAGCUUUGAAUUAACUCCGUAGCCUCCAUGUUCUUAAAUAAUUUAAGUGGGUUAAUUAAGGGACUGCAUUGCAAUUUGUUUUAGGGUUGGAAGUCAAUAUACUUUAACUUAGGUUAGUGCUUUGUUUGGGAUAGAAAAGUUGGUAAGCUAUUGGUAAU